rnacentral:rRNA from 1 species
GGCUUUUUGUAAAAAAUUUAAAGUCUGACCUGCUCUAUGAUGAAUUUAAAUGGCCGCAGUAUAUUGACUGUGCGAAGGUAGCAUAAUCAUUAGUUUCUUAAUUAGGAGCUUGCAUGAAGGGUUUGAUGAGAAAUUAGCUGUCUCUAAUUAAUAUAUUUAGAAUUUUAUUUUUAAGUUAAAAAGCUUAAAUGUUUAUAGAAGACGAGAAGACCCUGUAGAGUUUUAUAGUUUAAGUAAUUAAUAAAGUUUAGUAAUUUUUAAUUAAUUAGUUAAAUUAUUUGAUUGGGGUGAUAGAAAAAUUUAAUUAACUUUUUUUUUUUUAUUACAUUUAUUUAUGAGUGUAUGAUCCUGUAUUAUAGAUUAAAAGAAUAAAUUACCUUAGGGAUAACAGCGUAAUUUUUUUUUAGAGUUCAAAUUAAAAGAAAAGAUUGCGACCUCGAUGUUGGAUUAAAGAUGUAAGUUGGUGUAGGUGCUAAUUGAAUAGGUCUGUUCGACCUUUAAAUCUUUACAUGAUCUGAGUUUAAACCGGUGUGAG